rnacentral:rRNA from 1 species
GUAAUGCCGGAUGCUCCGACUCCUCGCAUGGGGUGUCGGGAAAGAUUUCAUCGGUAUGGGAUGGGGUCGCGUCCUAUCAGGUAGUCGGCGGGGUAACGGCCCACCGAGCCUACGACGGGUAGCCGGCCUGAGAGGGCGACCGGCCACAUUGGGACUGAGAUACGGCCCAGACUCCUACGGGAGGCAGCAGUGGGGAAUAUUGCACAAUGGGCGCAAGCCUGAUGCAGCGACGCCGCGUGCGGGAUGACGGCCUUCGGGUUGUAAACCGCUUUUGAUCGGGAGCAAGCCUUCGGGUGAGUGUACCUUUCGAAUAAGCACCGGCUAACUACGUGCCAGCAGCCGCGGUAAUACGUAGGGUGCAAGCGUUAUCCGGAAUUAUUGGGCGUAAAGGGCUCGUAGGCGGUUCGUCGCGUCCGGUGUGAAAGUCCAUCGCUUAACGGUGGAUCUGCGCCGGGUACGGGCGGGCUGGAGUGCGGUAGGGGAGACUGGAAUUCCCGGUGUAACGGUGGAAUGUGUAGAUAUCGAAGAAGAA